UNAGCGGAGGAAAAGNAACUACANGGAUUCCCCUAGUACUGCGAGUGAAGCGGGAAAAGCUCAAAUUUAAAAUCUGGCGGUCUCUGGCCGUCCGAGUUGUAAUUUAGAGAAGCGUCUUCCGCACCGGGCCGUGCACAAGUCUCCUGGAAUGGAGCGUCAUAGAGGGUGAGAAUCCCGUCUUUGGCACGGAUGCCUGUGCUUCUGUGAUGCGCUCUCAAAGAGUCGAGUUGUUUGGGAAUGCAGCUCAAAAUGGGUGGUGAACUCCAUCUAAAGCUAAAUAUUGGCGAGAGACCGAUAGCGAACAAGUACCGUGAGGGAAAGAUGAAAAGCACUUUGGAAAGAGAGUGAAACAGUACGUGAAAUUGUUGAAAGGGAAACGCUUGAAGUCAGUCGCGUCGACCGAGACUCAGCCUUGCCUUGGCUUGGUGUACUUCUCGGCCCGACGGGUCAGCAUCAAUUUUGCCCCUCGGAUAAUGGCAAGGGAAAGGUGGCACCUUUGCGGGUGUGUUAUAGUCUCCUGUCGCAUGCGAGGGGUGGGAUUGAGGAACUCAGCGCGCACCUUUGGUGUCGGGGCUUCGGCCCACGUCACGCGCUUAGGAUGCUGGCGUAAUGGCUUUAAACGACC
rnacentral:rRNA from 1 species